CGACGACAAUGUCGACGAUGAGUCGACGAUGUCAAUGAUCGAGAAGCGCGAGAAAGAGAGAGAUGGACAUCGUGUAAUGUAUUAAUGGGAUGCAGCGGCAGAGUUACCCAAGUUAGGGCACGCCGGCUGCAUCGACCGGAAGUCGAGACAGACCGACAAAAGUAGACCCUAUCCACUUCCUUUGGAUUGAAACUUUUUGCGGAUAAUUAAUGACGGCGCAUGAAACAACGCCGCAUGCAAAGUUAAGUGCGUAUUAAACGUGAUGGCGCCACGAGUUCCUCCGACAUGACGUUGCAGAGUAUGGAGCUGACUAAGGAAAUGAGCUUUUUGCGGGAAUGGGAAGAUUUUAAGUCUUGCGACGGAGGAGAAAUGGUUAUGUACGUGUUGCUUAUAGCGAUCUGUGACUCGUGCUUAAAUAUAUUUUGAUAAUUUUGCUAGAAGUAUUUAUAGUAUUUAUUAGUAAUUCAGUGAGUAAAAAUUGGAAAAUUUUAAAAUCCGAUAUUCUGUUAUAGAAAUUGAAGUUCCUCGUGGAACAUAAAUUAUAGUAAUAAUUUUAAUAAAAUUCUUCAUAUUUGUACAACGAUCACUACUUCAAUAUAUCAUGUACAUAAAAACAGCACUUAAAUUUUUAUAUCUAGAUCCAAAUAAGCUUUAGAGAUCCCUCUUGGAAAACUCUACAACUUGACGCAUAAAAUUCUCAAGAAUAGCUUCCGCAGCUGGACGUCGAUCGUUCGAAAUUUUCACUCGUAAAAUAUAAACGCAUCGAACGUGAAUAGAGAAAUCGAACUUGCUAGAAGUGACGCUAUCGAGAAAACUUAUGAAACGACAAAUAAGAGCGACGUUGGACGGUAACGUGCACAGAGAGAUUCUCGAUAAAAUUAACAUCGGCCAGACGACACACACUCGAUGUUAUUGGGUCGAUGCAUUUACAAUCAGAUUCGAUACGGUUAUCUUUCAUUCUUCGAACUGUGAUAGCUCGAAUUGAUACCGAGGUGAAAGUAUGCCGCCAUCUGUGGCUUUAUUCCUCGAAACAAGUCUGUGGGUUAAAUACGAGCACGAUCUUGGCGAACUUUCGCCAUUUCCUCGAUCCUUCGAGAUUUAAUAAAAGCGGUUAGUUGUCCUGUUCUGUCGCGAUCGCUUCAUGAACUCGCCUUUUUACUGCUCCUCGACUCUGUAAGGAUUUUUAUGUCACGAUUAUGUAAUUUUUUUGAGAUAUAUGACAAGACUCGAUUCACUUUACAUCGAAAUUGUACUUUCAAUUAAGAUUUAUGAUCGAUUUUGCAAAAGGAAAUAGCAAUAUGAAACUUCCAAGUUUGCGAUUAAUGCAUUAAUCUUAUUAUUUUCUUCAUUAGGAAAUAGUUUUGUGGAAAGAUUUUCAAAACUGUCCUUACUAUCGAUAUUAUUAAUAAAAAUGCCUUCUUUUCCAUCUUUUUUUUUCUAUCUUUGAUAAAUUAGAUUCCAUUGAAUAAGAAGUUUCAACACAAAGGAUCUCUUACAAAAUCAUUUUCCACAUUAUUCCAAGUCUGAAAAGCUAUAUAUUCAAACCUAACAAUUCUCGAUUUCGAUUUUAAAGGGAUCACAAGCGUGAGUAAUGAUCGUGAGACAAAAAAAAAACAGAAACACUCGCGAUGUUCAGUGUAUUUCUUUGGAUAAAAGAUGUAAAAGUGAAUAUUAGACGCCACUACCAGUAGAUUACCACCAUCGCUUUAUAUUUCGAUACAAGGGUUCGAUAAAAUCGCUUAUUUAAUCCAAGACACUCUCCUCCCUGAAAACUGUCAAAUUUCAUCGAAGGAAGGGGUUGGAAUAUUGUACGCAGGUGCAUACCUCUUAUCCCGACUCACGAACUCUGAUUUAUACAGCUAACUAUCGUAAAAAGAAGAGCAAAAUUAAGCUCGAGCUUGGAAACUUUGACUACGUUUCGUGUCAUGGAGUAUCUUGUGAAAGUUUUAGGAUCGGCACCGGUUCGGACUGAAUUUCGACCGAGUUUCCGAAAUCACGUUUUGAGACAAUAAAGUUGUUUUGCAGGCUAGGACGCAGGAAGUUGAAGUAAAAAUGGGUGCACUCGAUAUCCUCUUAUAACUUUAAAAUAUAUUCGUUUCUAUACGACAUCAAAAAUGCAGAAAUUCUGCGAUAGUUCUGCUUAUAACGAGACUUCUACACGGCAUGGCUUAAUAGACUUGGACAAACUUCGUAUUAUAACUGGAAUUUUUCCGCCAAAACUGUUCCCGUUGCUCCGUAUCAUAGGUGAUUGUGCUCGUUCAAACUUUUUACGAAUACACUUUGAGAAGCGAAGAAAUUUAAAUAAAAAUUUAUUUCUAAAAAAGUGACAUUUCCAUAGAACCAAACGUAACCAUCUUGCAAGAGUUUAUCUCAUUUCACUAGAAUUCACUAGAAAACAUUCAAUUGAUCAAUCGUCACGAAAUUUGUAAAAUUGAUCAUAGCUCGAGAUCUAAAGAAUUAAAUCUCACCGCAAUCCCGUAUAUUAAAUUCUACUAGAAUGGGAAAGACGAGCCGCCAAGGAUUGAAACGGUUCAGCCAGUUAGUUUCCAAAGACUUUUUACAGCUUCGCGUUAUAUUCCUCCACAAAAAAGAAGAUUCCACGUUCCUAAGAGGAUUAUAAAAGGGAAACGAUCUCAUCUCCAUCUCAGGUGGCUCGCCCGGGGCGAAAUUUAAAUCGCGGAUUCGAUCCACCGCGUUUAAUUAUCCUCGGCCCAUCUAAAUGUGACAGCACGGGGGCAGAACGUAAUAAAGGUAGCCCGGGACGUGUGUUACGCCGAUCCAUUCGCCUUUUAUUUGCCAAGGAAAUCUCGAGAACCGGUCCCGCUAUAUAUCCGCCCGCUCCAAUUCCGUAAUAAUAAGAUCUGAAAUUCCCGCGGGAACCCCGACCCAAUUUCCUCGACGCGGUUUCGUGCCUCCAAUCCGCGCCCGGAUCGUUUAAUUCCGUUCCUUCGAAUCAUCGGAAUUAUCGCGUUAUUGCUCCAGUUAUUUCGCCCUCAGAUCUUUAAACAUUUCUAUAUGUAUAUAUGUAUCAUUUAUUUCAAUUCGAUUCUUUAUAUCCGUGGUUCUAGGAUCUUUAAAAUUGUGUAUCUAUAUUAAAAACUAUCUUUUUAUCGAUCGAUUCUCUAGAUAUUUAUUUCGAUAUAUUGUUAUUUCUAUUCUCUAAAUUUCUACAAGAUGUCUCUUCUAUUUCUAUUAAAAAACUAUUUUCUUCGUUUGACUCCUUCACAAGUAUUGGAUCGAUGCUUGGAUUAUUAUCGAUCGUGUCAUUGCUGCGACAAUGCUAAAUUUCAAAAAUUCUGAAUAAUCUCCCCAAUCCUCUAACUCUAUAUGUAUAUAUUUAAUUAAAUAAAUAAUCGAAUGUGUAAAGAGAAUUUUUUUUUUGUACAAAUUGUAAGUUCACAAGUUCCCGCGUACCUGUCCAAUUAACCCGUAAGUAUCUUUAUAUCUCUUGAUUAUUGCACUUCCUCAAUUACAAAGAAACUUUAUUCGCCGCUUUUUACUACGUAGCACCAUUCCCGGCUCAUAAACCGUGGAUCGAAUGUACGAAACAACAUCCUCGUUACUUCGUUCCCGAUUUCCUUGCCGUUUCUCCGCGUGAACACACAGAGAGAGAGAGAAAGAGAGAGAGAGAGAGCCAGCCGCAUUUUAGAACGUCGUUGCAAGGUCGGGCCACGUAUUUCUCCCCCCAAGUACAAAGAUGCACCUUUCACUUUAACAGCAGGAGCUUUGAAACUCUAACCCUGCAAGACGCUUUAUAAAUACCACGGUAUCGGAUUCUCGGCUAUUAUUUAUAACCGCGAAUUUUGUCGAGUAAAUUUUCUGGAGAGCUUCAUCAUCAUUGUGACAGUGAUUCCCUUCUCGUCGAAGAUUAUCUCGUCCCCGAUGUAAUUCUCGAUAGAAUUUGAAGGAAAAUCGAUUGAUUUAUUUAUAAUUAUGAAUGAAAACUGGAUCGAAACUUGAUAUAACAUUCGAGUUUCCGAUGUAUAAAUUUCCAACGCAAAAAAGAAAUUGGAAAAUGUAUUUCCAAGAGAAUUGUUUCAAGGAUUGUGUCGAUAUCUUUUUUUUUUUUUUUUUAAUCUAUCGUUGAAAGGAGGAAAAAACGAAGAAGGAGAGAAAAAGUUGGAAUUCGGAUAAAUCUUUCACAGAGAUAUUCUGCAAACUUCCGUAAUCGUCGGUACGUUCGUUUUCCAGGGAUAAAGGGGAACGACGGUUCCCGUUGAACCAGUUUCAGAAUUGUAAUAUCCAGGACGGGCUAAUAUUUACCGAGCUGAUGCAGCACGCGAUAUAUGCUCCCUUUCGGUUACCCCCUUUCAGAGGAGGAACGAACCACUCUUAAACAAUACCGCCGACGGUUAACCGCGUAUAUUGUGAUUCCAUGCGUCGUUCCAUGCGAUCUUCUACUUUAUAUUACACCCAUAACAUGCAUGUUUUACGUGAAUUAAUAUAAAUAAAAUUAUUCACUCUUUUCGCAAAUUUUCGUUUAUUUUUUCUUAGGUAAAACACGUACAUUGAACUCGUAAGAUAAUUUAAUCGUAUUUAUUUUUGUGAACAAAAGCUUUUUUUUUUUAAUAUACUAAAUUCUUCGUAGCUGUACUCUUUCAUUAAAAUUAAUUCGCGGGAUAGGAUCUUUGUAGGUGUUUCGAAAAUAAUUGUAAAGUAAAGCAAAAAUUGGUUGACGGAAGAUUAAUUAUUAAUUCUUCGUUUAACGAUUUGUUCAUCGGCCACACUCUGUAUAUUUUAAAUGAAUUCGAAGCGAAUAGUUGCAUACUAUUGUGAAACAAAUUGAAAAAUUUUUUUUCAUUCUUCAUUCGUCAUUAUGUGAAUUUUGCCCAAUUAAUUCGCCCGUUUGGGACACUUUUAAUGGCAAACGUUAUAAAGGUAAAAAUUAAUUUCGCCUCCCCCCGAUCUGUCUAUCCUCCAAGGACGAUAAUCACGUCGUCCUUCUGCCCUCCCCCAGCAAAAAUGCUCGUCCAUCUUCGCCACGUUGCCGAUGACAACGUCGGUUAACCGACCACGAUCCUCAGGGACGAGAGAUUCAACGGUGAAUUACCCUUGGAUGCGUGCGCCUUUCGCCGGCAUCAAGGAAGAUGGAACACAGGGAAUCGUUUCGACGCAAUUUGUUGUAGUCUUUUCAGAAGAGUAUAAAGGUUUAAACGAUUUUGCAGGAUUGUUGUUACGUAAUGCGAGAAAAGGAUUUUGAUUAUCCCUGGGGAUGAGACCUGAGGAAAUUCGGGAUAAUGCUUCGUUUCAAGCGAUUUCGUGACGCUCGUUGCGGUUUGGCGAUAAAGGAAAAUGGUAAAUUGCAUAGCAUCGUCGAAAACUUAUAUUACUAUCAUCAAAAUCCCCGUAUCCGCAUCAUUAUCUAAAUACUUGAAAGAAAUUUACUAAAAUUGUUAAAAUUUUAUACUCUCGUCACGUGCUUCUCGCAAUACCCUAUAUAUAUACAUAAAAAAGAAAAA